rnacentral:rRNA from 1 species
UACGGAGGGUGCAAGCGUUAUCCGGAUUCACUGGGUUUAAAGGGUGCGUAGGUGGGUCUGUAAGUCAGUGGUGAAAUCUCCGGGCUUAACUCGGAAACUGCCAUUGAUACUAUCUGUCUUGAAUACCGUGGAGGUUAGCGGAAUAUGUCAUGUAGCGGUGAAAUGCUUAGAUAUGACAUAGAACACCAAUUGCGAAGGCAGCUGGCUACACGAAUAUUGACACUGAUGCACGAAAGCGUGGGGAUCAAACAGG